rnacentral:lncRNA from 1 species
CUACUAAUAGUCACUGAGUCUGUAUCCCAGGUGUCUGACCUCCUAACACAAGAGCAAGCAAACCUAACUCACCAGAAAAAGAAACUGGAGGGACAGAUCUCAGCCCGGCAACAAGCAGAAGAAGCUUCACAGGAGUCAGAAAACGAACUCAAGGAAAUGAUAGAAACCCUUGCUCGGAAGCUGAAUGAGAAAUCCAAAGAGCAAAUGGAACUUCACCACCAGAAUCUGAAUCUCCAAGAAACACUGAAGAGAGUAGCAAAUUGUUCAGGACUUCAUCCAGCAAGCAAUUUCCUAUUCCAGUUUUCCAUUCUGGAUGGGGCUGUCUCGGAGGAACCCCAGCUACCCAUGGCUCUGGGAGGACGGUUCUCCUUUGAUGCCCCACUUAUUUAGAGUCCGAGGCGCUGUCUCCCAGACAUACCCUUCAGGUACCUGUGCAUAUAUACAACGAGGAGCUGUUUAUGCGGAAAACUGCAUUUUAGCUGCCUUCAGUAUAUGUCAGAAGAAGGCAAACCUAAGAGCACAGUGAAUUUGAAGGCUCUGGAAGAAAAGAAAAAAGUCUUUGAGUUUUAUUCUGGAAUUUAAGCUAUUCUUUGUCACUUGGGUGCCAAACAUGAGAGCCCAGAAAACUGUCAUUUAGCUGGCUGCAGAACUCCUUUGCAGAAACUGGGGUUCCAGGAGCCUGGCACCUUUAUGUCAACAUUUUUGAUUCUAGCUACCUGUAUUAUUUCACCUAGCUUGUCCCAAGCUUCCCUGCCAGCCUGAAGUCCAUUUUCCCCUUUUUAUUUUAAAAUUUGACUCCUCUUCAAGCUUGAAAACCCUCUG